CCUACGGGCGACUGCAGUGAGGAAUAUUGGUCAAUGGACGCAAGUCUGAACCAGCCAAGCCGCGUGCAGGAAGACGGCCCUAUGAGUUGUAAACUGCUUUUGUACGAGGAUAAACGCAGAUACGUGUAUCUGUCUGACAGUAUCUUAUGAAUAAGCAUCGGCUAACUCCGUGCCAGCAGCCGCGGUAAUACGGAGGAUGCGAGCGUUAUCCGGAUUUAUUGGGUUUAAAGGGUGCGUAGGCGGUUUGUUAAGUUAGUGGUAAAAUGUCGGGGCUUCACUUUGGUUUGCCAUUAGUACGGUAAGACUUGAGUUCAGACGAGGUAGGCGGAAUAAGUUAAGUAGCGGUGAAAUGCUUAGAUAUAACUUAGAACUCCGAUAGCGAAGGCAGCUUACCAGACUGCGACUGACGCUGAAGCACGAGAGCGUGGGUAGCGAACAGGAUUAGAUACCCUAGUAGUC
rnacentral:rRNA from 1 species